GAGUGCGGUAGGGGAGAUUGGAAUUCCUGGUGUAGCGGUGGAAUGCGCAGAUAUCAGGAGGAACACCGAUGGCGAAGGCAGAUCUCUGGGCCGUAACUGACGCUGAGGAGCGAAAAGCGUGGGGAGCGAACAGGAUUAGAUACCCUGGUAGUCCACGCCGUAAAACGGUGGGAACUAGAUGUGGGGUCCGUUCCACGGAUUCCGUGUCGCAGCUAACGCAUUAAGUUCCCCGCCUGGGGAGUACGGCCGCAAGGCUAAAACUCAAAGGAAUUGACGGGGGCCCGCACAAGCGGCGGAGCAUGCGGAUUAAUUCGAUGCAACGCGAAGAACCUUACCAAGGCUUGACAUAUAGAGGAAAAGUGCAGAGAUGCACUCCCCGCAAGGUCUCUAUACAGGUGGUGCAUGGUUGUCGUCAGCUCGUGUCGUGAGAUGUUGGGUUAAGUCCCGCAACGAGCGCAACCCUCGUCCUAUGUUGCCAGCACGUAAAGGUGGGAACUCAUGGGAGACUGCCGGGGUCAACUCGGAGGAAGGUGGGGAUGACGUCAAAUCAUCAUGCCCCUUAUGUCUUGGGCUUCACGCAUGCUACAAUGGCCGGUACAGAGGGCUGCAAUACCGCAAGGUGGAGCGAAUCCCAGAAAGCCGGUCUCAGUUCGGAUUGAGGUCUGCAACUCGACCUCAUGAAGUCGGAGUCGCUAGUAAUCGCGAAUCAGCAACGUCGCGGUGAAUACGUUCCCGGGCCUUGUACACACCGCCCGUCAAGUCAUGAAAGUCGGUAACACCCGAAGCCGGUGGCCCAACCUUUUGGAGGGAGCCGUCGAAGGUGGGAUCGGUGAUUAGGACUAAGUCGUAACAAGGU
rnacentral:rRNA from 1 species